AUACGGAGGAUGCAAGCGUUAUCCGGAUUUAUUGGGUUUAAAGGGUGCGUAGGCGGAUGAUUAAGCGUGAGGUGAAAUGCCACUGCUCAACAGUGGAACUGCCUCGCGAACUGGUUGUCUUGAAUGCUCCUGCCGUGGGAGGAAUGUGUGGGGUAGCGGUGAAAUGCAUAGAGAUCACACAGAACACCGAUUGCGAAGGCAUCUCACGAAGGGGUGAUUGACGCUGAGGCACGAAAGCGUGGGGAUCAAACAGGAUUAGAUACCCUGGUAGUCCACGCAGUAAACGAUGAUAACUAACCGCUGGGUCGUAGUGAUUCAGUGGCCAAGCGAAAGCGAUAAGUUAUCCACCUGGGGAGUACGACCGCAAGGUUGAAACUCAAAUGAAUUGACGGGG
rnacentral:rRNA from 1 species